rnacentral:lncRNA from 1 species
CGGGGAGACCGCGUUUAGAGGAUCAGUGGCGGCGGGCCCGCGCGGUGCCGGCGACUACAGCGAGAUGUCCUGGCCCCUUCCAGGUUUGGAGAUGGCCUUGGGAGAGCAACCUCCGGACCUCAGCAGUGUGAGGAUGACAACAGUACCCUGUGGUGCUGUCCCCACUCAGGGUUUCUCUCUGUAGCCCUGACUGUCCUGGAACUCACUCUGCAGACCAGGCUGUCCUCAAGCUCAGAGAUCUACCUGCCUCUGCUUCUGAAGUACUUGGAUUAAAGAUGCAGAGGCCUCCCAGAGAAGUGUGAAGGAAUGGGCCUUAACCAGGGUUGAAGAAAGAAAGUGAAGAAGGGGAAAGCCCAAGGAAAGGUGGGGACAGUUGGAACUUUUGUUUACACCGGUCUACUACUCAUGUAUCGUAUGCUAUAAUCUCCAAAUUCCACAUUUAUUGUAGCUGUCUGCAGUGUGUAUGCCCCGGCCGCAUGCUGCUUGGCUAAAAAAGUGUUAAAUAAAACUGUAAGAAACGCUA